GACGAACGCUGGCGGCGUGCUUAACACAUGCAAGUCGAACGAUGAAGCGGUGCUUGCACCGUGGAUUAGUGGCGAACGGGUGAGUAAUACGUGAGUAACCUGCCCCCUUCUUUGGGAUAAGCCUUGGAAACGGGGUCUAAUACUGGAUAGUCCUGUGUCACCGCAUGGUGGUGUGGGGAAAGUUUUUUCGGUGGGGGAUGGGCUCGCGGCCUAUCAGCUUGUUGGUGGGGUGAUGGCCUACCAAGGCGUCGACGGGUAGCCGGCCUGAGAGGGUGACCGGCCACACUGGGACUGAGACACGGCCCAGACUCCUACGGGAGGCAGCAGUGGGGUUAUAUUGCACAAUGGGCGCAAGCCUGAUGCAGCGACGCCGCGUGAGGGAUGACGGCUUUCGGGUUGUAAACCUCUUUCGCUACCGAACAAGGCUCUGCUUUUUGGUGGGGUUGAGGGUAGGUGGAUA
rnacentral:rRNA from 1 species